GUAGCUCAGCUGGAUAGAGUACCUGGCUACGAACCAGGCGGUCAGAGGUUCGAAUCCUC
rnacentral:tRNA from 1 species